AGUGUAAGAUGAAGAGAGUAUCCUUCAGAAAAUAAACCCUUGGGUCAAGAACAAAAAUAUCAACAUAAGAACAGGAUUCACAUUUUUGGAUUAAGAAGAUUUCUGUAUCCUAAAGAACUAUGUAUUAAUGUCCGAAUACACCAAAGAAAUCAAAAUGCACAGUUUCCACAACUAAAUCAGGGUGUGAAAAACUGAAGAGGAUACAGAGAGGCACCACCCAGAAGAUUCAAAGUAAACAAAAAGAAGUAUAUGAUGGCACUGGAUUGACUUGCUCAGUUGUAAAUCUAGUGGUCAACUUAAUAUUGCUGUAUCACACAGAAGAUGGUGAUGAACUGUCUCUUCCACUAUGGAAAGGAAACCAUUUUAAACUGAAGCAAGAAUGUAUUGACAGUUUGGAGAAAAGUGCUAUCCGAGCUUAUGUUUAAUCAUUUGAAUUAGUUAUUGAGGGGAGGCUGUAAAGUCUUUCUCUGUAAGUAUUUAAAAACUGGAUAGAUUUUAAUUUUCCAGAAUGUCAUGUUAGAGUUUUGCCCUGUGAGUGCAGGCAGGAGGAGCGAGGAUGGACUAGAAUGGACCUUAACGAAGUCCCUCACUCCAAGAUGGAGUGUGCUUUCAAUGCAUCUCUCUCCUUCUCCCUUCCU